GAGAAUUCCAUGCUGAACUGAACUGCAUCAGGCUAACUCUAUUACAGCCAGCCCUGCAGCUGAGGAAUCUUAGGUGUCUGCAACCAUCUUCCAACUUGUGACUCAAGCAGGAACUCAACUGACUGUCUCUCAUGCACUUUUCAGGUCUUCAAAGACUAAUACACCAUUAAGUGCACUGUAGUGUCAAAAAUGUAUUAUACAUU